rnacentral:rRNA from 1 species
GAGCGUAGGGCGCGAGCGUUGUCCGGAUUUAUUGGGCGUAAAGAGCUCGUAGGCGGCUUGUCGCGUCGACUGUGAAAACCCGCAGCUCAACUGCGGGCCUGCAGUCGAUACGGGCAGGCUAGAGUUCGGUAGGGGAGACUGGAAUUCCUGGUGUAGCGGUGAAAUGCGUAGAUAUCAGGAGGAAUACCGGUGGCGGAAAAGCGG